rnacentral:rRNA from 1 species
GGGGGGAGCAAGCGUUGUUCGGAUUUACUGGGCGUAAAGGGCGCGUAGGCGGCCUCCGCAAGUCAGUUGUGAGAUCUCUCCAACUUUACCUCGGAAAGGUCAACUGAUACUGCGGGGCUAGAGUGCGGAAGGGGCAACUGGAAUUCUUGGUGUAGCGGUGAAAUGCGUAGAUAUCAAGAGGAACACCUGCGGCGAAGGCGGGUUGCUGGGCCGACACUGACGCUGAGGCGCGAAAGCUAGGGGAGCGAACGGGAUUAGAUACCCCGGUAGUCCUAGCCUUAAACGAUGAAUGCUUGGUGUCUGGGGUUAUAUAGUCCCCGGGUGCCGUCGCUAACGCUUUAAGCAUUCCGCCUGGGGAGUACGGUCGCAAGACUG